UGCCUAAUUUUUAGAUAUUAUUUAUUUACUGUUUCUGUACUUGUUUAUUUUUGAUGUUGUCUUUGUCUAAUAAUUAACCAUAGAUUGUACUUUGGACUUUCUCCUUUUGAUUAUUUUUUUCUGGUCUCUGGCCGAAUGACCUUUAUAACUACAGGCCAGUUAACAGAAAAGAAGAGAAAAUCUAUAUCGAAUCUGUGGUUGCUCGUGUUUCAAAUCCUAAAAAUAAAAAAGAAGAACUUUUUUUAUUUUAUUCUGUGGUUACGGUUCUCUUAAGACCUGAAAUACGAAAAAGAAGAAGAAUGCAGGUGGCGCCAUUGUGGAAAAGGUGGGAAAAUUUUGAACUAAAUUGUUUCCAAGGUUGCCAAGCCGUUAGCAAAGUCCUGAUACUAAUCUAAAUCAAUAUUUUUGAAACUUCAAAAUGAGGUGAACCGUUAGAAAAUCAUGAUAAAUGUAAUAAACAUAUAAAUCAAGCUUUGUUUCGGCAGAAUAAAUAAUUGUAUUUUUGUUUAUAUACAACAUUAUUUAUGUAGCAAAAAAUCAACAUUCUGUUUUACAUGUGUUCAAUCUGACAAUAUUGACGGUGCCACAUUUUCUGUUAACAAGUCGUUAUGUCGCUCUUACAAUUUUUCUGAUGGAAAGUAUGAUUUUUCUGAACACUAUUUGAGUGUAUUCCUAUGGUGUAUUCUAUUCUUUAAGGUCUGUUUAAUCUCCUGAAAAUGAUAGUUAAUAAUAAAGCACUCAAAUGAAGAGACCUGGGUCACCCCGCCUUUUGUAUAAUCCUGAUGUUUGGCCAUCAAUCUGGUUUACGAGUUUGUCUUUCAUUAUAUGAGUAAAAAUUUUCAACAAGAAAUCAAUAUAUGUAUACAGUUCCAGGGCAGAAUACAUUUAUCCUUUUCAUGAAUAUUACCAACAAUGUUUUUGUGAUUUCAUUCAUUUCUACCAUUUUACACAAUAUAUCAACUUUAUUUUUUUCAUUGCAUGAUAAUUAAUCUAUUUCAGUAUUUGUCUCCCAUAUAUUCUUCCUUAUGGGAAUGCCAUUAUUCAAGUCUUUGUAUUUGUAUACUUUUUUGUGUCAUUCUUCUGAGACUCUUCAAGAUGCCAUUAGCCUGAUUAAAUUCAAAACAUUCAACAGGUGAACGAGGAUGAAAUUCUUAUUUAGAACUAAAUAACUUGAGAACCAAAACUUUCCAGAAAGGUAACCAGAAGAUUUAUUUACCGCAACGUAGACAUACCUAGACAUCAGUAUGUCCAUCAGCACCAUGGA